rnacentral:rRNA from 1 species
AAAGAAACCAACAGGGAUUGCCCUAGUAACGGCGAGUGAAGCGGCAACAGCUCAAAUUUGAAAGCUAGCCUUCGGGUUCGCAUUGUAAUUUGUAGAGGAUGAUUUGGGGAAGCCGCCUGUCUAAGUUCCUUGGAACAGGACGUCAUAGAGGGUGAGAAUCCCGUAUGUGACAGGAAAUGGCACCCUAUGUAAAUCUCCUUCGACGAGUCGAGUUGUUUGGGAAUGCAGCUCUAAAUGGGAGGUAAAUUUCUUCUAAAGCUAAAUAUUGGCGAGAGACCGAUAGCGCACAAGUAGAGUGAUCGAAAGAUGAAAAGCACUUUGGAAAGAGAGUUAAAAAGCACGUGAAAUUGUUGAAAGGGAAGCGCUUGCAAUCAGACUUGUUUAAACUGUUCGGCCGGUCUUCUGACCGGUUUACUCAGUUUGGACAGGCCAGCAUCAGUUUCGGCGGCCGGAUAAAGGCUCUGGGAACGUGGCCUCCACUUCGGUGGAGGUGUUAUAGCCCAGGGUGUAAUACGGCCAGCCGGGACUGAGG